rnacentral:rRNA from 1 species
CUUUUGGAGGGUUUGAUCCUGGCUCAGAGUGAACGCUGGCGGCGUGGAUUAGGCAUGCAAGUCGAGCGGUCCCGAAAAAACGAACUUCUAGAACUUUCGGAAGUCUCUUCGGAGAUGGAAGAGGGGGAUGGGAGCAAGAUUUUUCAGGAUAGCGGCAAAAGGGUGAGUAACACGUGGGUUAUCUGCCUUGAGAUGAGGGAUAGCUCCGAGAAAUCGGAGGUAAUACCUCGUAAGCCCUGCACUUUAGGGUGUAGGGGAAAGGCGGCUUAAGUCUGCUUGCAGACUGCUACUGUCUUAAGAGGAGCCCGCGUCCUAUCAGUUAGUUGGCAGGGUAAAAGCCUACCAAGACUACGACGGGUAACUGGCAUUAGUGUGUGGUUAGUCACACCGGGACUGAGACACUGCCCGGACUCCUACGGGAGGCUGCAGUCGAGAAUCUUUCCCAAUGCCCGAAAGGGUGAGGAUGCGACGCCGCGUG